rnacentral:lncRNA from 1 species
UAGAAGGGGAUAUCUAAGACCACAGCUGAUCCAACUGUGCCUCAAAUCACCGAAUCCCUGUGACAAAAGCUCUAACUGCCAUGCUGUGAUAUCAUAAUCUCCUCAUCCCUUCUAAGAAUUUUGGCAACCUCAGCUUUCACUUGACCGACCUCCUCAACUGUCCCAUGCUGUCUUUUCUCCAAUAUAUCUAUAUUUUGAGAUAAGAUGCUCAUCUACUGUAUGAGAGAAUCAAACUACCCCUC